rnacentral:rRNA from 1 species
AUUGAACGCUGGCGGCAGGCUUAACACAUGCAAGUCGAGCGGGGAAGAGUAGCUUGCUACUUGACCUAGCGGCGGACGGGUGAGUAAUGCUUAGGAAUCUGCCUAUUAGUGGGGGACAACAUCCCGAAAGGGAUGCUAAUACCGCAUACGUCCUACGGGAGAAAGCAGGGGAUCUUCGGGCCUUGCGCUAAUAGAUGAGCCUAAGUCGGAUUAGCUAGUUGGUGGGGUAAAGGCCUACCAAGGCGACGAUCUGUAGCGGGUCUGAGAGGAUGAUCCGCCACACUGGGACUGAGACACGGCCCAGCCUCCUACGGGAGGCAGCAGUGGGGAAUAUUGGACAAUGGGGGGAACCCUGAUCCAGCCAUGCCGCGUGUGUGAAGAAGGCCUUUUGGUUGUAAAGCACUUUAAGCGAGGAGGAGGCUACCGAGAUUAAUACUCUUGGAUAGUGGACGUUACUCGCAGAAUAAGCACCGGCUAACUCUGUG